ACGGUUCGGGUAGUGUAAUAUGGCGUGUUCGUUUUAUUUUUUGACUACUUUUUCGGUCGUACUUCGAUCAACCUAAGCCUUUUAAUCUGACAUUUUUUAUUUCAAAAUCUGUGUUGUUUUCUGGAAGUUUAUUUCGCACUGAUCAUUUUUGUGCAUUCAGUUUCAUUUUUCGAGCAUUUUUUCACUUGAUUUUUAUUCAUUUUGAGUCCUUUUAUUUUUAUUUCUUUGUCAAAAUGUUCGUAAUCAUUAAUUAUAUUUUUUUAUGUUUUUG
rnacentral:lncRNA from 1 species